rnacentral:lncRNA from 1 species
GUGAACCUAUGAAGCCUUCUCUGAGGAGCAGGAAACAGCAGCUUCUUGAGCUCUUCUUUGUGUGGUGCUGACCUGCUGCUGUUCCUGGAGAGAAAUUCUCAGAUAUAUGGCACCCGCAUACCUCCUAGCAAAAAGAAUCAGGAUCCUGGAGGAUAGUGAAGAAUAACAUAAACUG